rnacentral:rRNA from 1 species
CCUACGGGGGGCUGCAGUGGGGAAUAUUGGACAAUGGGGGCAACCCUGAUCCAGCCAUGCCGCGUGUGUGAAGAAGGCCCUCGGGUUGUAAAGCACUUUCAGUGAGGAAGAACGCCUGGUGGUUAAUACCCAUCAGGAAAGACAUCACUCACAGAAGAAGCACCGGCUAACUCCGUGCCAGCAGCCGCGGUAAUACGGAGGGUGCGAGCGUUAAUCGGAAUUACUGGGCGUAAAGCGAGCGUAGGUGGCUUGAUAAGCCGGUUGUGAAAGCCCCGGGCUCAACCUGGGAACGGCAUCCGGAACUGUCAAGCUAGAGUGCAGGAGAGGAAGGUAGAAUUCCCGGUGUAGCGGUGAAAUGCGUAGAGAUCGGGAGGAAUACCAGUGGCGAAGGCGGCCUCCUGGACUGACACUGACACUGAGGUGCGAAAGCGUGGGUAGCAAACAGGAUUAGAUACCCUUGUAGUC